rnacentral:tRNA from 1 species
GGAGGUCUAGCUCAGUGGUAGAGUGUGUGCUUAGCAUGCACGAGGUCCUGGGUUCAAUCUUCAGUACUGCCA